GCACCCUGGACGAGCAGCGAGUUCUGGCACCACGACAGGACGUUGCUUUGCGCUGAACUUCACCGCGGCGCUCACGGAGCCUCGGGUCUUUAAUCCCAGCUUGGUAAAACCCAGCCCAGCUCGGCGGCUCCGGGUUAGCCCCAGCACGCCCAAGAAUGCUGUGGGCCCUGGGCUGUUGCAGCAUUUCCAAAGAUCCAAGGCACCUGGGAAAGGAUUCACCCACUCCGGUUGCUUUAGCGCAGUGGCACUGCCUUCCCCAAGGACGGAGCCUCACAUCCAUGGAAGACAGCUGAAAAGUUAAUUACAGCCUCAGUGGGUCUGGAGAAAACCCUGACCACCAGGAGGAUCACCACAGCUGAGCCAGACCAUUUUUCUCUCUUUUUUGACCAUGGCAGAGUUGUUUGGAGCUGAUGGUCAUUGAUGGCCAUUAUCUUUUGCUGCAUGAGAUGUUCAGGUCAUCAGACCUCGCCUGGUGGAACAGUCCUCUGAAAAGAAACCUCAAUUCCCUUCCCACGGCACGAAGCAAAUGAAAGUUCCCACCAUAUCUGCUACCUUGUGUCUGGAAGAUCCAUCGAUGUAAAUGGACAAACAUCCAUUAGCAAAUCAAUCCUGCCCCAUUCCAUCAGCAGGCUUCCUCUACUCUGCCAGUGUUGAACAUGCUGGAGGAAGUUUUAGCCUCAUACCUUUAAAAACUCCCAUCAGCUCCUCAUGGCAUUUGGGAUGUUAAUGCAUUUUAGGAUUUUCAGCCCAGGAGGCCAAUUUCAGUGUUCUGAACUGCAUUUUGGUACAGAUACUGCCUUCCAUCCUUAACAGGCCAA